rnacentral:rRNA from 1 species
AGAGUUUGAUCCUGGCUCAGAAUAAAUGCUAUCGGUAUGCUUAACACAUGCAAGUUAAAUGUAUUUAAAACAUAGCGGACGGGUGAGUAACACGUGAAUUAUCUACCUUUUAAUUCAGAAUAAUUAUUUUUAUAAAAAUACUGAAUAAAUAAAUUAAAGUUUUUAACGUUAAAAGAUGAGUUUGCGUAAGAUUAUGGUAGUUGGUAGUUUAAAAGACCUACCAAGCCUUUUAUCUUUAGCUGGUUUGAAAGAACGAUCAGCCACAUUGGAACUGAGACACGGCCCAAACUUUUUUAAAGGCAGCAGUGGGGAAUUUUGGACAAUGAGCGAAAGCUUGAUCCAGUAAUACCGAGUGAGUGAAGAAGGCUAAUUAGGUUGUAAAGCUCUUUCAUUAAGGAGGAAAAUGACAGUACUUAAAAAAGAAGUUCCGGCUAAUACCCGUGCCAGCAGCCGCGGUAAUACGGGAGGAGCGAGCAUUAUUCGGAAUGAUUAGGCGUAAAGAGUUUGUAGGUGGUUUUUUAAGUUGAAAGAAACAAAUUAAAGCUCAACUUUAUACAUUUUUUCAAAACUGAUAAACUAGAGUAUAAAUAGAGGAUAAUGGAAUUUCUAUUGGAGUGAUAAAAUACGUUGAUAAUAGAAGGAAGGCCUAUGGCGAAGGCAAUUAUCUGGGUAUAUACUGACACUGAGAAACGAAAGCUUGGGUAGCGAACGGGAUUAGAUACCCCGGUAGUCCAUGCCGUAAACGAUGAGUGCUAAUAUUUAGAAUUUUUAGAUAUAACAGCUAACGCGUUAAGCACUCCGCCUGAAAAGUAUAAUCGCAAGAUUGAAAUUCAAAGGAAUUGACGGGAGUCUACACAAGCGGUGGAGCAUGUGGUUUAAUUCGAUAAUACGCGCAAAACCUUACCAACUCUUGCUAAUUUUUAUAUAAAAUUUUAUAUAAAAAACAGGUGUUGCAUGGCUGUCGUCAGCUCGUGUUGUGAAAUGUUUGGUUAAAUCCUUUAACGAGCGCAACCCCUAUUGUUAGUU